rfam:Lepisosteus oculatus linkage group LG14, whole genome shotgun sequence.
GCCUGGAUAGGUCAGUUGGUAGAGCAUCAGAUUUUUAAUCUGAGGGUGCAGGGUUCAAGUCCCUGUUUGAGCA